GAUGAAUGCUGGCGGCGUGCCUAAUACAUGCAAGUCGAGCGAAUGGAUUAAGAGCUUGCUCUUAUGAAGUUAGCGGCGGACGGGUGAGUAACACGUGGGUAACCUGCCCAUAAGACUGGGAUAACUCCGGGAAACCGGGGCUAAUACCGGAUAACAUUUUGAACCGCAUGGUUCGAAAUUGAAAGGCGGCUUCGGCUGUCACUUAUGGAUGGACCCGCGUCGCAUUAGCUAGUUGGUGAGGUAACGGCUCACCAAGGCAACGAUGCGUAGCCGACCUGAGAGGGGGAUCGGCCACACUGGGACUGGGACACGGCCCGGACUCCUACGGGAGGCAGCAGUAGGGAAUCUUCCGCAAUGGACGAAAUUCGGACGGAGCAACGCCGCGUGAGUGAUGGGGGCUGUCGGGUCGUAAAACUCUGUUGUUAGGGAAGAACAAGUGCUAGUUGAAUAAGCUGACACCUUGACGGUACCUAACCAGAAAGCCACGGCUAACUACGUGCCAGCCGCCGCCGUAA
rnacentral:rRNA from 1 species